rnacentral:rRNA from 1 species
UACGUAGGGGGCAAGCGUUGUCCGGAUUUAUUGGGCGUAAAGAGCGUGUAGGCGGCUAGAUAGGUCCGUUGUGAAAACUCGAGGCUCAACCUCGAGACGCCGGUGGAAACCAUCUAGCUAGAGUCCGGAAGAGGAGAGUGGAAUUCCUGGUGUAGCGGUGAAAUGCGCAGAUAUCAGGAAGAACACCCGUGGCGAAGGCGGCUCUCUGGGCAACAACUGACGCUGAGGAGCGAAAGCGUGGGGAGCGAACAGG